UACGAAGGGGGCUAGCGUUGCUCGGAAUCACUGGGCGUAAAGCGCACGUAGGCGGGUCGUUAAGUCAGGGGUGAAAUCCUGGAGCUCAACUCCAGAACUGCCCUUGAUACUGGCGAUCUCGAGUUCGGGAGAGGUGAGUGGAACUGCGAGUGUAGAGGUGAAAUUCGUAGAUAUUAGGAAGAACACCAGUGGCGAAGGCGGCUCACUGGUCCGGUACUGACGCUGAGGUGCGAAAGCGUGGGGAGCAAACAGG
rnacentral:rRNA from 1 species